AGGACCCACAUGGUGGUCCAGAGCGUCACCACAGCUUCAGGCCUGGGGGGCUUCGGCCACUGAGAUGAGGGGUUCAGGCCAGGUUUCAGAGUCCCACCAGGCCUCCCUCUUGCAACAGAAGGAAAGUCCACACUGAGGAGGAUCAUGGCCUGCUACGGUCGAAGUGCAAGGCACGCGUCAGAAGCAGUGGCUCCUUCUGCAGCAGGACUCACCUACUGACUCAGAAGGACGUCCUCCAGGGACAGCCAGCUCCUCCUCUGAGCGCACAGCCCAUGUCCUCUGCUGUGCGCUCCUCGCGCGAACCGACCCCACCUCGGACCGGAAGCCACCUUGGGCUGGAGGAUGCCAUGAAGUCUCUCUGGUUCAACGUGCAUGCACCGUCUCACUUAACCUGGGUUACUCUGUAUGAGUUGCACAGAAAAGGCCAACAUGGACAUCUGAGGACAGACAGCACAGGAGUACAGGAACUAAUGCAAAUUGCAUGUGAAUGACAUCCCCAUGCAGGCCACUACUGACCACACUUACCCUCCCAUUUCACACACCUGCUUGGGACUAUCCUUCCUGGAGGCCACUGGAACUUCUGGAGCCACCUGCAGCACUUCUGAUGCAUUUCCUAGGUGGUGAUUUCCCAGCCCUGACACUGGUGACAGCUGUGGGUCUUACUCCACCAUAGCCAGAGGAGAAUGUGUCUGCCACUGCAUCAGCGGAAGGAGAGGGAGUUGGGGGUGGUCACCAGCUUCCCAGGCUUCACUUUCCCCACUUAUAAAUGAGGGGCUGGAACUUUUCAGUUUCCUUGGACCUUUUAAUUCAGCCCUCUCAGAUCUGAUGGCCUCGUGGUAGGAAUGCCCUUCCUCUAAGGGAAUUACAGUGAAAAUGACUGACUCCAUCUCAACAUCCACCAGCCCCGUGAAAAUGUGCCCCACCUCCUUCUGCUAAUUUUGGCUUGGGGGCCUCCUGGACCUGCAGUAGAGCUUCCCUUGCUUGGCUGAGCAGUUGUUAAAUGAGCUGCCUUCUAGCCAAGCAUAGCACAUGAGCCCACUGGCCUAUCUAUUAGGAAAGAAGGUCUAAGAGAAAUCAGGGUCUCAAUGCAAAGCUGCAUUAUAAAGUAAAAAAUUAUCUAUGUAUAUAUA
ensembl:lncRNA novel transcript